rnacentral:rRNA from 1 species
UGAACGCGAAGAACCUUACCAGGUCUUGACAUCCAGUGCAAACCUAAGAGAUUAGGUGUUCCCUUCGGGGACGCUGAGACAGGUGGUGCAUGGCUGUCGUCAGCUCGUGUCGUGAGAUGUUGGGUUAAGUCCCGCAACGAGCGCAACCCUUGUCAUUAGUUGCCAUCAUUAAGUUGGGCACUCUAAUGAGACUGCCGGUGACAAACCGGAGGAAGGUGGGGAUGACGUCAAGUCAUCAUGCCCCUUAUGACCUGGGCUACACACGUGCUACAAUGGACGGUACAACGAGAAGCGAACCUGCGAAGGCAAGCGGAUCUCUUAAAGCCGUUCUCAGUUCGGACUGUAGGCUGCAACUCGCCUACAUGAAGUCGGAAUCGCUAGUAAUCGCGGAUCAGCACGCCGCGGUGAAUACGUUCCCGGGUCUUGUACACACCG